rnacentral:rRNA from 1 species
GACGAACGCUGGCGGCGUGCUUAACACAUGCGAGUCGAACGGAAAGGCCCUGCUUUUGUGGGGUGCUCGAGUGGCGAACGGGUGAGUAACACGUGAGUAACCUGCCCUUGACUUUGGGAUAACUUCAGGAAACUGGGGCUAAUACCGGAUAGGAGCUCCUGCUGCAUGGUGGGGGUUGGAAAGUUUCGGCGGUUGGGGAUGGACUCGCGGCUUAUCAGCUUGUUGGUGGGGUAGUGGCUUACCAAGGCUUUGACGGGUAGCCGGCCUGAGCGGGUGGCCGGCCACAUUGGGACUGAGAUACGGCCCAGACUCCUACGGGAGGCAGCAGUGGGGAAUAGUGCACAAUGGGCGGAAGCCUGAUGCAGCAACGCCGCGUGCGGGAUGACGGCCUUCGGGUUGUAAACCGCUUUCGCCUGUGACGAAGCGUGAGUGACGGUAAUGGGUAAAGAAGCACCGGCUAACUACGUG